UAUAUCACAACCCUAAUUAACCCUGUAGCCUUUGCAUCGCUUCAAUCCAUUUCCCCUCCAGCGCAGCCAUGGAUUCCUUUGCCCUCUCUCCCUAACCCUAAAUCUCUAUCUCCACUGCUAUCUAAUCUCUCGCACUAAAGUCCAUUUCUCAUUUUGCCCAAAAUUUACCAAACUCGAAAUCGAUUUUGGAAGAGCGCAUAAGCCUGCCUGCAACAUCAACUCAGAUCUGAGGGUACAGUUUCGUCAUCCAUGGACGAAUUAAAGUCUAUAGCUUCAUCCGCUGCGACAACGGGGAUGCAUGAUUCAUUUCGGUUUAGUUUGGGAUUGGGCGGAAUCGGGAAAUUUGAUGGUAUUGUUGGACGCUCUUCUUGGACAGAAAAAAGCUAGGCGCAAGUCUGGCUUUGUUUUUGGCCUUCAGCCAUUGAACAGGCAGUGACUCUAUAUACAUUGCGGAUCGUGGUAGGCGAUGACUCAUAGCUCAUGUGAUAAAUUGUGGAUCGUGGUAGGUGGAUUAUGGUAGAUAGUGGUUUGUAGCUCGUGACAGGUUGUGGAUCGUGUUGGGUGGUUUUAAAAAUCAGUUGCUUGUUAGAGAAAUUUUUUGAAAUUUUCAAGAAUCAAUUAGGAUUACCGAUCAUCUUGAAUUUUGGACACAAAUUGGGUUUUGAACUUUGUGGAUUGUAGUAGGUGGUGGCUCAUAGUUUGUGAUGGGUUGUGGGUUGUAGUAGGUGGAUCAUGGUAGACGGUAGCUUGAAAUUCAUGAUAAAUUGUGGAUCUGGUUCAUGGGUCCCGGGCACCGCGGGGGGUCCGGCGCGUGGUGUCUAAAUAAAGUCAGACAAUUUUGUAUGUGUAAAGAAAGAUGAAAAUUUGGGAUGAUAUGUCAGUUAAUUAUAAUUUAUAUUUUAUUAUUUAAUGCGAGUUAAAUGUUUGAGUAACAAUAAGACAAUUUUAAAUGUUUGCAGGAA